GACGAAUGCUGGCUGCGUGCUUAACACAUGCAAGUCGAACGGUGAAGGGGAGCUUGCUCCCCGGAUCAGUGGCGAACGGGCGAGUAACACGUGGGCAACCUGCCCCUCACUCUGGGAUAACUCCGGGAAACCGGGGCUAAUACCGGAUACGACCGGGAGCGACAUCGCUCCUGUUGGCAAGAACUUCGGUGAGGGAUGGGCCCGCAGCCUAUCAGCUAGUUGGUGGGGUAACGGCCCACCAAGGCGACGACGGGUAGCCGGCCUGGGAGGGCGACCGGCCACACUGGGACUGAGACACGGCCCAGACUCCUACGGGAGGCAGCAGUGGGGAAUAUUGCGCAAUGGGCGAAAGCCUGACGCAGCGACGCAGCGUGAGGGACGAAGGCCUUCGGGUUGUAAACCUCUUUCAGCGGGGACGAAGCGAAAGUGACGGUACCCGCAGAAGAAGCACCGGCUAACUACGUGCCAGCCGCCGCCGUAA
rnacentral:rRNA from 1 species